GACGAAGGGGGCUAGCGUUGUUCGGAAUUACUGGGCGUAAAGCGCGUGUAGGCGGCCCGGUAAGUCCGCUGUGAAAGUCGGGGGGCUCAACCCUCGAAUGCCGGUGGAUACUGUCGGGCUAGAGUGCGGGAGAGGCGAGUGGAAUUCCUGGUGUAGCGGUGAAAUGCGCAGAUAUCAGGAGGAACACCGGUGGUGUAGACGGCUUUCUGGACCGUAACUGACGCUGAGACACGAAAGCGUGGGUAGCAAACAGG
rnacentral:rRNA from 1 species